GGUUAAGCGACUAAGCGUACACGGUGGAUGCCUAGGCAAUCAGAGGCGAUGAAGGACGUGCUAAUCUGCGAUAAGCGUCGGUAAGGUGAUAUGAACCGUUACAACCGACGAUUUCCGAAUGGGGAAACCCAGUGCAAUUCGUUGCACUAUCGUUUGAUGAAUACAUAGUCAAACGAAGCGAACCGGGGGAACUGAAACAUCUCAGUACCCCGAGGAAAAGAAAUCAACCGAGAUUCCCCUAGU
rnacentral:rRNA from 1 species